rnacentral:lncRNA from 1 species
UGGGAUUGUGGCUGCUGCUGAGGCUGAGACUGUGGCUGUGGCUGCUGCGAAGACUGAGACUGAGACUGAGGUGGUUGUGGAGGCUGUAGUGGCUGAGAAGCAGGCCUAGCUAAAUUCAUUGCUAUAUGUGGGGGAAGAGGAGGAGGUGGUGGCAGCGUGUUCGCUCCAUAUCCGUAAGGCAUCACCCCCAUCAUCAUACCAGUUGACUGCAUAUAUUGACUUCCUGAAGGAUUUGCAGGAGAGAGAGGGGGAGGUGGAGCAGAAGCAAAGGGAGAUUGAAUCUGGUUGCCUUGAGACAUUGGUUGCAUACCAGCUGAUGGUGCUAGUGGCAUGUUGUUAAUUGCCUGCUGCGGUAAAGGGUUGAAAUAAGUUGUGCUUGGGAUGUCUG